AAAAGCUUGGUAGAGUAGCUAAGGCGAUAGACUAGAAAUCUAUUGGCGUAAACCACGUGAGUUCAAAUCUCACAGCUGCCG
rnacentral:tRNA from 1 species